GUGGGGAAUAUUGGGCAAUGGGCGCAAGCCUGACCCAGCAACGCCGCGUGAGGGAAGAAGGCUUUCGGGUUGUAAACCUCUGUCCUUGGUGACGAAAAAAAUGACGGUAGCCAAGGAGGAAGCCCCGGCUAACUACGUGCCAGCAGCCGCGGUAAUACGUAGGGGGCGAGCGUUGUCCGGAAUUACUGGGCGUAAAGGGUGCGUAGGUGGCCUUUUAAGUUGGAUGUGAAAUACCCGGGCUUAACUUGGGGGGUGCAUCCAAAACUGGGAGGCUAGAGUGCAGGGGAGGAAAGCGGAAUUCGUAGUGUAGCGGUGAAAUGCGUAGAUAUUAGGAGGAACACCAGUGGCGAAGGCGGCUUUCUGGACUGUAACUGACACUGAGGCACGAAAGCGUGGGGAGCAAACAGGAUUAGAAACCCUUGUAGUCC
rnacentral:rRNA from 1 species